CAUUUUGAUAGUAUAAAUAUGAUAUAUUUAGAUUUUAUUCGUUUAAUGCGUUGACAUUUCAUCAUGAACCUGUGGCCUGCAGUUUGAAAUCCCACCAAGAUAAUUUUUUAACCUAUCUAUCAUAUGUAAUACAUCUGUAUUUUUUAUUCCAUAUAUUUCAUCAACCUUGCACAUAAAUCAACUUUGGUGAAUUUCCUUUCAAAGGCUAAUUUAUUAUUAUUCUGUGGGCGUGGCCAUUAAAUAAACACAACACACUGAAUUGAAAGGAGGCAGAGGCAGCCCUUAAUUUAUGAAUUUUCCCAAUCCUGGUCGGGAAGCUAUGAAAAAAAAAGCAUUGCUAGAAAUGCAUAUCAGACGGCCAUUAAAUAUUCCCGUAGGGGGAAAAAGCCCUUGGCUCAGGGUCAAAACAAGUCUAAGCUGGAUCUAUAAUAUUUUGCAUCACGCAAAACAAAUUUUACAUUAAAAGCGAAAGUGCUCUAAAUAUUCAUUCGCAUCCACUAAAAUGCAAAUGCAUUUUUUUCUGCAACGUCACGCGUGAACUUCCGGACGCGUAUUACAGAGCUGUCUCUCACUUCGAAAUACAAGGAUUUGGCUUCGCAGCAACAUCAUUGCCCCAAUAAUGUUGCACAGAAAGAUCUCUAGAGCAUCCGCUCUGCAUGUUGUUUCUAAACCAACCGUCCAUCUCUCGGCUUGUUUAGAUGCCCAGUGACCUGAGAAAGUCAUACAGAUUUGAAACAACAUGUGCAAGGCUGGAUUAUGGAUAGAGCCAGUAGGCCCAACGCCCCAGGACCUCAAUUUGCUAGGGGCCUCCAAAGCCUCAGGCUGCACAUCCUAAGACUGCCAAAGUAAGCUGAACACCAGGGUCCUCUGUGCAAGGCACAUUUCCUCAUUUCAGCAGAAUAUGAAAUGAACUGGCAUUACAGACAUCUACUCUGUGUGUUCUAAGGCGGACUCGAUUCAUGACACCAGCACUGAACAUGAGGGUACGUAAAUAACAGCAGAAUUUAGCAUGAUCUGUUCCUUCAAAAGUGGAUUUUUAAAGCAUGUUCUGACUUCCAUAAGACUUGGGAUUGAACAUCUGAGUUGCAGAGAUAGUGAGCGUAAGACCUCAUAUGUAUUCUGCUAACCCAGAAGAUCAUUUACCGGCAAGGGCAGAUGUGUCAGAUAGUCUGACAGUUGUAGUCCUAACCUAGAAUCUCACAACCUCGGAUUUGGAGUUCCUCUGCGCAGUGAGCCAGUAUUAGAGUUCAUAAAUAACUGCACGUCCUUCCCGUGACACAUUUAUUUGUAGAAAUUUGUAUGAUUCAUAAUGUGGAAACAGAGUGUUUUUAAUGAACUAGCUUUUGAUAAAUUUUAAUUAAAUCCCAUUAAACCCGCUGCUUUGUCGCAUGUGGAAAAGGCGGCUGACAGUAGUUAAUUAGCCUGUUUAAGCAUAGCUCGCUUUUAUAAUGCAUUUUGCUUUGUCAUCAUCCUGCUUUUCCCUGUAAUUAGGCGUGACAGUGCGAGAGGUGCAACGUGAGGGCUGGGUAGCACGAGCGCUAGAUGGGGACAGGUACGUGUAAGGAGAGUGUGUGGGAACCGGAGUUUUUUUUUUUUAUAUGGGUGCCAGGCGAUUACCUUACGGAAUACAUGCUCCCAUACCAUGCAUUAUAUCUCCUCCUCCAAGCAUAACCCCCAACGCCUACCUAAUCCUCCUGAACCUCGCUCCCCUCCUCACUCUCCUUCCUAAUCCCUCCCUCCUUUCCCCCAUCUUCCCUGCACCUAGCA